AUUGUAUUAAUAAUUUGUGUUUGUAGCUAUUAACCUUCGCAUAAUCUAAUUGUGAGAAAAUUUCAUCUUCUGUAGAGAAAAACUUUAUGAAGCAGGGAUUGGCUGGUGAAAAGAAUAUAGUUGCCUAAAACGAUCAUGGGAAAAAAGCUGCGGCGAACAAAUUAAAAGCAAACAGCGAUUUAGUUUUUUCAAGCGUUGUAGAAAAAUCCAAUUAUAGUAAAGAUACCCUUGAAUACAAUUGUUGAACAACUGAAAAUUUUCUGCAAAAAAUUGUCCGAAAGGUGGAGAAAAUCGAACAAGGAAAAGACUUCACAGAUUGCCACCCUAAACGUUAAUGCGCCAAAGUUGCAAAUCUCGUCGAAGGCAAUACCUGCCAUCAGUUUGUUAAAGCAACAUGUAUAAGUUUGUACAAAUCUGGAAAGCGUAGAACAUCCGAAAUUGUUUCAAUGGUUGCCACAGCGCCCGAAUCAACUAAAAGAAUUAAAAGAAGUCUUAAUCAAGAGCUUCCUUAUACCAAUAGGGUUGCGAGGAAAGUUCGGGGCACUCUACAUGUCGCCAAAGUUUAGCAACCCAGAACUAAAAAUGGCUAAUGAGCAUACAUUUUUUAUAUUUAUUGGGCCACUUCAAUUGGUUAAUGGAACUUCCGUAGUUUGGGGAAAUCUUCGGCCAUCGUCAACGCGAUAUUGUAGACCACUUUAAGUAGUUUUUGCGAAAGAGUCCGCGAAAACGUCGACACAGACAUUCCCCGUUGCGUUAGGUGUUUCCACCUGGGGCACAUGGUGCGCAAAUGCUGCAACCCCGUAGACAGGUCGCCCAUAUGCACACGUUGUGGCGCCAGUGGACAUAUAGCGAAGUCAUGCAUCAAUGACCCAAGCUGCAUGCUUUGUAAAGGAGCACACUCCGUAUUGAGUACAACUUGUCCCAAAUAUUUGGAGAUGAUAAAGUCGUUAGAAAAAUGAGGAUACUGCAGCUAAAUUUAAACCACUGCUGCAGCACAAGAUCUACUUAAACAGACAAUAUUUGAGGAAAACAUUGAUGUCGCCUUACUAAGCGAGCAGUACUCCCAGCGUUCGGAAAGCACCUGGACCACAGACAUAUCUGGCAAGGCUGCAAUAUGGUCAUAUAAUGGCCAACCUUUUAUAUCCUGCUCCAAAGACCAUAACUGUUUCGCAUGGGCAAACAUACCUGGCAUAUACUUUGUUUGUUGCUAUGUAUGCUCCUCCCAGCGCCUUAAUAAUAUAUUUUGAAAACUUCCUCCUGGAACUUUCUCUAAAAAUCAGAAGGAAAUCGCCAGUCAUCAUCGCGGGCAGCUUCAAUGCGUGGUUAACUGCCUGGGAUUGCAGACGCACAAACCAUCGUCGACGUCUGCUACUAGAAUAACUGAGUUAGACGAAUCUUACGAUAAUGAAUAGCGGAACGCAAAAUACCUUCCAAAAAGGAAACAAAGGCCCAAUAAUCGAUGCAAUAUUUGCAAACGACGCUCUAAGUAGGCACAUAAAGUGGACGGUGUCGGAUAUAUUUACAAAUAGUGACCACAUGGCUAUUAUUGCUGAUGUUUCGUUUUCCGGAGAGACCGAAACCUGCAGCAAGAGCACUUGCCAAAAACGUAGCUAGAAACAAAAGGAGUUUGAUGGUGGCCUUUUGAGAUAGUUUGGGGCUCAGCAAAUACACCAGGCGAGAAAGCCACUCACUUGGUAUCCGCAGUGCGAAAAGAACUGGCCACAGCAUGCGAUGCAACUAUGCGUAGAAUAGUACACAAUAAACGAAAGUCAGCCUAUUGGUGGAAUGAAGAGAUAACUACGCUGAUAAAGCUCUCUAAUUUAGCUAGACGACGUCUACAGUGUAAUCAAUGUGGGGAAAAUGCAAACAUCCUCAGAGAAAAGUUUAAAACACAAAAGAAGCUUCUAAAGUCAGCCAUUGCCCGCAGCAAAAGAAACUGUUUUCUAAAGCUCUGUGAGGAAGCAAACGUAGACCCCUGGGGUACGGCGUAUAAAAUAAGCAUGUCAAAGUUUAUAAAUAAGACACAACAGCGCAUCUUUUAUUAAGAAUAUCGUAGAAAGAUUAUUUCCAAAACACCAUCUGAUUUCCUAUGAUAAACCAAGAACAGAAGUUGUAGAGCCACCACUACUUGUUAGUGAAGCAGAAAUAUUGGCUAUAGCGGCAGAAAUUAAAAGUAGCAAAGCGCCUGGUAAAGAUGGCGUACCAAGCAGGGCCUUAAAAGAAGCUAUGAAUUUAAAACCGAAUUUGUUCGCAAAAAUGUACAAUGCGUGCUUAAAGGAAUGUAUAUUCCCCGACCCAUGGGAAGUUCAGCGAUUGGUUCUACUUCCCAAACCAAAUCAGACUUCGGAGGAAGCCUCAUCAUAUCGACCUCUGUGCAUGCUUGACAUGAUUGGCAAAGUGUACGAAAGCAUAGUAAGAAACCUCUUGGAGUUAGCAAUCCGGAAAGCCGGCGGAUUAUCAGAAAGACAAUACGGCUUUAUGAAAAAGAGGUCCACUAUUGAUGCACUAAACAAUGUCGUUGACACUGCGAAAUGCGCAGUAAGUGGAAAAAGAUAGAAAGAUGGGACUAAAAAACAUUGCGCGCUGAUCAUCCUGCAUGUGAAGAAUGCCUUCAACUCGGCAAAAUAGGCAAACAUAAUCAAGGAUCUGUAUAAAAUGCACGCUCCCCAAUACCUUGUAAACAUUAUUAUAAGUUAUUUCGAAAACAAACGACUAAUAUUUGACACUGAUGAAAAGCUAUUCUAUUUCGAGUGGGAUACCGCAAGACUCGGGUUUAGGUCCCAUUCUAUGGAACGUGAUGUAUGAUGGGGUGCUAAGAAUAAAUCAACCAGAAGCCGUGAAAUUAAUCGCAUACGCGGAUGACCUUAUAGUGGUAGCAGUCACUAAACACCUAGAUGACCUCCGGAACAAAUGCAAUGAAUGCGUAAACAGUCUGCGGCAAUGGUUCUCCUCAAGGAGCCUAUUACUAGCUGAGCACAAGACAGAAGUCCUCCUAAUAAGUACUAGGGAAGUGGAUGAAAAAAUAUCCUACCCAUUCAUACAAUAAGGCUUGUUAGAAUAACGGAAAUUAUUAUACAUAUGUAGUACAAUAUAAUUUCAGAUAUUUUUGACAUUAAAC